UACGUAGGUGGCAAGCGUUGUUCGGAUUUACUGGGCGUAAAGGGCGCGUAGGCGGCGUGACAAGUCACUUGUGAAAUCUCCGGGCUUAACUCGGAACGGUCAAGUGAUACUGUCGUGCUAGAGUACAGAAGGGGCAACUGGAAUUCUCGGUGUAGCGGUGAAAUGCGUAGAUAUCGAGAGGAACACCUGCGGCGAAGGCGGGUUGCUGGGCUGAUACUGACGCUGAGGCACGAAAGUGUGGGGAUCAAACAGG
rnacentral:rRNA from 1 species